rnacentral:lncRNA from 1 species
GGCUAUCCCCCUAGAGGCUACUCCCGAGGCCCAGGUUAAUAUGGUUUUUGAGUAUCCCGACGAACCCUGUAUGCUUAAAGAGCACUCAGUCAUAGCUGCAGCUAGGGAAUAUGGUAUAAUGCCUAAUUGCGAUGUUAGAUUUCCUGACCCCGAGGAUAGGAUUAUUCGAGCACGACGAGGGGAGUUUGUUAUUUUUAGGGAGACCCUUAAGGCUGGCUUUAGGUGGCCCCUUCACCCCUUCUUUAUUGCUCUAUUAGUCGAGCACUCCAUGUGCCCGGGGCAGUUAGUUCCCAAC